UACAGAGGGGGCAAGCGUUGUUCGGAAUUACUGGGCGUAAAGGGCUCGUAGGUGGCCAACUAAGUCAGACGUGAAAUCCCUCGGCUUAACCGGGGAACUGCGCCUGAUACUGGAUGGCUUGAGUCCGGGAGAGGGAUGCGGAAUUCCAGGUGUAGCGGUGAAAUGCGUAGAUAUCUGGAGGAACACCGGUGGCGAAGGCGGCAUCCUGGACCGGUAUUGACGCUGAGGCGCGAAAGCCAGGGGAGCAAACGGG
rnacentral:rRNA from 1 species